rnacentral:rRNA from 1 species
UGGGGAAUUUUGGACAAUGGGCGAAAGCCUGAUCCAGCAAUGCCGCGUGUGUGAAGAAGGCCUUCGGGUUGUAAAGCACUUUUGUCCGGAAAGAAAUCCUUGGCUCUAAUACAGUCGGGGGAUGACGGUACCGGAAGAAUAAGCACCGGCUAACUACGUGCCAGCAGCCGCGGUAAUACGUAGGGUGCAAGCGUUAAUCGGAAUUACUGGGCGUAAAGCGUGCGCAGGCGGUUUGCUAAGACCGAUGUGAAAUCCCCGGGCUCAACCUGGGAACUGCAUUGGUGACUGGCAGGCUAGAGUAUGGCAGAGGGGGGUAGAAUUCCACGUGUAGCAGUGAAAUGCGUAGAGAUGUGGAGGAAUACCGAUGGCGAAGGCAGCCCCCUGGGCCAAUACUGACGCUCAUGCACGAAAGCGUGGGGAGCAAACAGGAUUAGAUACCCUGGUAGUCCACGCCCUAAACGAUGUCAACUAGUUGUUGGGGAUUCAUUUCCUAGUAACGUAGCUAACGCGUGAAGUUGACCGCCUGGGGAGUACGGUCGCAAGAUUAAAACUUAAAGGAAUUGACGGGGUCAUGCUG